AGAGUUUGAUCCUGGCUCAGAUUGAACGCUGGCGGCAUGCCUAACACAUGCAAGUCGAACGGUAACAGGUCUUCGGAUGCUGACGAGUGGCGGACGGGUGAGUAACGCGUAGGAAUCUGUCUUUGAGUGGGGGACAACCCAGGGAAACUUGGGCUAAUACCGCAUAAGCCCUGAGGGGGAAAGCGGGGGAUCUUCGGACCUCGCGCUGGAAGAGGAGCCUACGUCUGAUUAGCUAGUUGGUAGGGUAAAGGCCUACCAAGGCGACGAUCGGUAGCUGGUCUGAGAGGACGACCAGCCACACUGGGACUGAGACACGGCCCAGACUCCUACGGGAGGCAGCAGUGGGGAAUUUUUCGCAAUGGGGGCAACCCUGACGAAGCAAUGCCGCGUGAAUGAAGAAGGCCUUCGGGUUGUAAAGUUCUUUCGUGGAGGACGAAAAGGUAGGUGCUAAUAUCGCCUGCUGUUGACGUGAAUCCAAGAAGAAGCACCGGCUAACUCCGUGCCAGCAGCCGCGGUAAUACGGGGGGUGCAAGCGUUAAUCGGAAUCACUGGGCGUAAAGGGUGCGUAGGCGGUGCAUUAGGUCUGUCGUGAAAUCCCCGGGCUCAACCUGGGAAUGGCGGUGGAAACCGGUGUACUAGAGUAUGGGGAGAGGGUGGUGGAAUUCCAGGUGUAGCGGUGAAAUGCGUAGAGAUCUGGAGAACAUCAGUGGCGAAGGCGGCCACCUGGCCCAAAUACUGACGCUGAGGCACGAAAGCGUGGG
rnacentral:rRNA from 1 species